AACCAUUCUCACCUGCGGCUAGACCUGCGGAAGGAUCAUUACAGAGUUGCAAGACUCCCUAAACCAUUGUGAACCUACCUUCUACCGUUGCUUCGGCGGGCGGGCCCAGCGCCCCCCCCGGCCCCCCGCGGGCGCCCGCCGGAGGAUACCCAAACUCUUGACAUUAGUGGCCUCUCUGAGUAUUCUUUACUGAAUAAGUCAAAACUUUUAACAACGGAUCU
rnacentral:misc_RNA from 1 species